rnacentral:lncRNA from 1 species
GACACACCCGACACACUCAUAAUACAGAUAUGCAAAAGUAAUGGGAGUAAGGCAUCCAGGAUGCAUCCACCAUGCAGUCCCAAAUUGAUUUCCUCAAAAAUCAAAUAAUUAAAGAUGAAAUUGCAACUACAUGAAUACCUUAAACAAAAUCAAAAGAAAUAAUCUCAUAUUCAUGAACAGAUGGAAGAACAACAAGAUCAUCAUCAAACAUUCAUCUACACAAAAAAUCUUCAUCAGUCAUAAUCCAGCGGAAGAAAUAUUACAUAUGUUCUUGAUUAUUACAACUUUCCAGAACAUUUACAUCUUUUCUCAAAAUUAAAAAACUGGGAAUUCACACAAAAAAAUGGGAAGAAACCCAAAAUCCCACUGCACUCCUCCUGCCCUCGGCGGUC